rnacentral:tRNA from 1 species
GAGGGUAUAGCUCAAGCGGUAGAGCACAUGCUUAGCAUGCAUGAGGUCCUGGGUUCAAUCCCAGUACCUCCU